GAAAAAAUAUUCAAUGUCACUGUGUCAUCAUUUGCUCCUCCUUUAUCUGCUAUGAAGUGUUGUAGAUGCAAUGAAAAUGAAGCUGUACUGAGAUGCAGACAACGUGGUGUGUUGAGAUAUAUUUGUCGAUUAUGUGAUGAUGAUGUCCAUGAGAAUAAUCCUCUCCAUGAUCGAGAAGUGUGGUUGGAUGGUUAUUUUUAAUAUAUCAAGCCAACACAAUCCAUUUCAUCUGAUGGAAAGAUUUGCAGCAUUGAUCGAUCAUGUCCCAUCCUUUACCCAUCAUCAUGUCAGUUGUGUAAUGAACCUAUCAUCAAAACUACCAACAGCUCUCUUGUGAUUAUGAUCACUUGUGAAGAAAGAGGAUGCCUGGGUCAUCACAAUCUGCUU